ACGCUGGCGGCAGGCCUAACACAUGCAAGUCGAGCGAGACCUUCGGGUCUAGCGGCGGACGGGUUAGUAACGCGUGGGAACGUACCCUUUUCUACGGAAUAGCCUUUGGAAACGAAGAGUAAUACCGUAUACGCCCUUUGGGGGAAAGAUUUAUCGGAGAAGGAUCGGCCCGCGUUAGAUUAGAUAGUUGGUGGGGUAAUGGCCUACCAAGUCUACGAUCUAUAGCUGGUUUUAGAGGAUGAUCAGCAACACUGGGACUGAGACACGGCCCAGACUCCUACGGGAGGCAGCAGUGGGGAAUCUUAGACAAUGGGCGCAAGCCUGAUCUAGCCAUGCCGCGUGAGUGAAGAAGGCCUUAGGGUCGUAAAGCUCUUUCGCCAGGGAUGAUAAUGACAGUACCUGGUAAAGAAACCCCGGCUAACUCCGUGCCAGCAGCCGCGGUAAUACGGAGGGGGUUAGCCGUUGUUCGGAAUUACUGGGCGUAAAGCGCACGUAGGCGGAUUAGAAAGUUAGAGGUGAAAUCCCAGGGCUCAACCCUGGAACUGCCUUUAAAACUUCCUAGUCUUGAGUUCGAGAGAGGUGAAGUGGAAUU
rnacentral:rRNA from 1 species